CGUAUCACCCAAGACAACUUUACGGAGUUGACGAUUGACGGAGCGAAGCGACGUCAAAGCGUUCAUUAAAGUCGAGUUGGCUUAGGGAUACGUUCGUUGGGUAGGGGAGCGUUCUGUAAGCCUGUGAAGGUGUGUCGUGAGGCAUGCUGGAGGUAUCAGAAGUGCGAAUGCUGACAUAAGUAACGAUAAAGCGGGUGAAAAGCCCGCUCGCCGGAAGACCAAGGGUUCCUGUCCAACGUUAAUCGGGGCAGGGUGAGUCGACCCCUAAGGCGAGGCCGAAAGGCGUAGUCGA
rnacentral:rRNA from 1 species